CCUACGGGAGGCAGCAGUGGGGGAUAUUGCACAAUGGGGGGAACCCUGAUGCAGCGACGCCGCGUGGGUGAAGGAGUGCUUCGGCAUGUAAAGCCCUAUCGGCAGGGAAGAAGCAAGACGGUACCUGACUAAGAAGCCCCGGCUAACUAAGUGCCAGCAGCCGCGGUAAUCCGUAGGGGGCGAGCGUUAUCCGGAUUUACGGGGGGUAAGGGGGGGGUAGACGGCCCUGCAAGCCAGGGGGGAAAGCCCGGGGCCCAACCCCGGGACCGCCCUUGGAACUGCAUGGCUGGAGGGCGGGAGGGGUAAGCGGAAAUCCCGGGGUAGCGGUGAAAUGCGGAGAUAUUAGGAGGAACCACCGGGGGGAAGGCGGGCUUGUGGACCGUCAAUGACGUUGAGGCUCGAAAGGGUGGGGAGCGAACAGGAUUAGAUACCCUGGUAGUC
rnacentral:rRNA from 1 species